rnacentral:rRNA from 1 species
UACGAAGGGGGCUAGCGUUGCUCGGAAUCACUGGGCGUAAAGGGUGCGUAGGUGGAUUUUUAAGUCAGGGGUGAAAUCCUGGAGCUCAACUCCAGAACUGCCUUUGAUACUGGGAAUCUUGAGUUCGGGAGAGGUGAGUGGAACUGCGAGUGUAGAGGUGAAAUUCGUAGAUAUUCGCAAGAACACCAGUGGCGAAGGCGGCCUGCUGGGCAGUGGCUGACACUGAGGCGCGACAGCGUGGGGAGCAAACAGG